rnacentral:misc_RNA from 1 species
GAAAUGCGAUAAGUAAUGUGAAUUGCAGAAUUCAGUGAAUCAUCGAAUCUUUGAACGCACCUUGCGCCCCUUGGUAUUCCGAGGGGCAUGCCUGUUUGAGUGUCAUUAAAUUAUCAACCCGAAAAGCUUUCGCGCUCUUCGGUGCUUGGACUUUGGAGCGUGCGGGUCCUUCGGAUCCGCUCCUCUUGAAAUGCAUUAGCGGUACCCGAUGGCGGACCUGCCCUGGCGUGAUAAUUAUCUACGUCGCGGCCGCGAAGCUCAACUUUAUGGGUCUUUCUGCUCACAACCGUCGCCAUCCGCGACAACUCGAUGACAAUUUUGACCUCAGAUCAGGUAGGAUUACCCGCUGAACUUAA